rnacentral:lncRNA from 1 species
CGGGUGGAAAAGGACAAUAAAUAACAUGCUUAAAGCUGCAAAUGAGCAGCUGAAAACUGAAAAUGUUAAACUCAACAAAUGGUGGAAAUGCUUGAAAAACAUUGUGCAGCAGGAUCUUUAAGACAGGUUUGAAUUCUGUAGCAAUUUUUAUUUCAUUUGCAGCAGUAAAUUUUUAUCUCUAAAUACUAAGAUGUACACCUGUGAUCAAAAGUAUACGGACCAGGGGUGGCGCGAUAAAGCCGAUUUUUUCCUCUGCCUGUGAACGCAACUUGAAAUUGAGAACUGCACUCCAAACUUGGCAUUGCGAACUUCUCAGUAUACUCGUCAAUUAAGGUUUAUGCUUGUUAAUUACGAAUCAAUUCAGCUUUUUCGUCGACCCUGCGGUCCGUAUACUUUUGCUCACGGGUGUACAUAUUUGGUUGUUUUGUCAUAUCUGUUUCACUUAUACUGAACAUAUGUGGUAGGUGAAUGUCGAAAGUUGUGAGCAAAGACAAUGAUUUUCCACUGAGUACCGCCAUGUGUCUACUUCUGCAGAAAACCGCAUGCUGUCCCAGGAGCCUCAAGCAGGCUGCUACACGAUGGCUGAGAAACACACCCAACAGAAGAAACCUUCACCACAGGUGCAGGUUUCUCCUGUAGGGUGUAGAUCUCUUCCUCCACAGGUGCAGGUUUCUCCUAGGAGAGCAGAGCACGUCACCUGCUGCACCCACACCUGAGCCAUCAUCGCCCACCAGGCCACAGUCCGCUGCAGAGGCCGAACUUCUAGUAAUCUGGGAGGAUUCCGACAAGAAUGAGAGGCUGGAAUCUUCUAAGAUAUUUUCAGUCGUUGGGAAUGAGGUGUUCCUGGAUAGUGGCCUGUGGUGGCAGAAAUCCGUGUACGAACAUUUGAUGCAGCACCCGAAAGAUGGCUUUUUUGUUCGUGAGGCCAGCGUACGGAUAUUUUCGACUGCAGGCCUCUUUAACAGAAGUGUCAGAAGUUCUAUUUGGGCACUGCACCAAAUAGAACUAAAGCGGAGGCCAAGCCACUCUUGGAUACUACGAAAUAUGAAGUUCUAAAAGCAUUUUUCAGGCACUACCUGGAGCGCCGAUGCAGCAGCCCCGCGGAAAUUGCCACAAGGCAUAGUUGCCUUGGCAAAAUAGUCGCCUGCAAAAUCGCAGACAUCAUGAAGCGGCAGAGGAAGCAUAUGUAGUUUUGUUUUGAGAAUAUAUUUGUGUACAUGUGCCUCAAUCGUCCUCUAUGCUUAUCAUUCUAGGGGUGUUGCCACAUUGUGGGCCCUCUGCGUGAAGAUAAACACCCACGGCACACUUAUACAAGACUAAUUACAAUACGCAGAUACAUGACCAACAGGUCUCAAUGAUCCAAUAGGCAAAUACCAAACCAAUACAUUACUAAUAGGCAAAUACAGAACCAAUAGGCAAAUAUAGUUCAAAUAGGCAAAUACAGAACCAAUAGGUCAAUAUAGUAGCAAUAGGCAAAUACAAAACCAAUAGACCAAUAGGUGUCAA